AGUGUCCCCCAUGCCGGAUCUCUAGGAUCUGGAAGGCCGCUGCUGCCAGGAACAAGAAGUCAGAGAGGGCCAGGCUGAGCAGGAGCAGCGCCAGACGCGUGCCAGCUCCAUGCCGGGCCUGGGAGCCGGCCAGCCACGCCAUCAACCCAUUGGCUGGCAGCCCAAGGAGCAGCAGGGCCACCAGGAAGACCGUGUCCCAGCCACCUUGGGGAGUCCUGCUGGACACGGAGUGGGUGCCUGGUGAAUCAAUGAUGGUGUGAAUGACCGAGUAUGGGAGAGACGGUGCUGUGCAUCUCCAGGCAAGUCACCAUCCCUCCCUGCGCCAUUGUCAUCACCUUUUGAGUAAUUAUCCUAUGCCAAGGACUUGAAGUGGAUGACCUCAUGGAGUCCUCAUACAAUCUACUUUACAGGCGAGGACAGGAAGGUUCAGAGAAUCAGUGAAGGUAGGAAGGGAGGUGCCAGGGCUCAACCCAGACUUUUCUUUUCUUUUCUUUUUUUUUUUUUGAGAGACAGGGCCUUGCUCUAUUGCCCAGGAUGAGUGCAGUGGCACAGUCCCUGCAGCUUCCACCUCCUGGGUUCCAGCGACCCUCCCAUCUCAGCCUCCCUAGUAGCUGGGACUACAGGUGUGCACCCACUACUUUUUAAAUUUUUAGUAGAAACAAGGUCUCACUGUGUUGCCCAGGCUGGUCUUGAACUCGUGAGCUCAAGUGAUCCUCCUACCUUGGCCUCCUGAAAUGUUGAGAUUACAGGCAUGAGACACUGUCCAGACAGACUUAAUCUUCUGCCAUGUAGAAUCCCAAUGGGUCCGGAUAGACUAACCCGGAGGCUUUCAAACAUUGUUAAAGGUAUGGAAUUUUGUCUGUAAGUAAAGUAUUCUAAGGCCGGGCACGGUGGCUCACACCUGUAAUCCCAGC
rnacentral:lncRNA from 1 species